GAUGAACGCUGGCGGCGUGCUUAACACAUGCAAGUCGAACGGGAAACCGUUUAUUGUAGCUUCGGCAGGUUUGGCUGGGUUCUAGGGGCGAACGGGGGAGUAACUCGUUGUUAACCUGCCUUAUCCAGGGGGAUAACAGUCAGAAAUGGCUGCUAAUACCGCAUAAGCGCACAGAGCUGCAUGAGUCGGUUUUGAAGACUCGUGUAGUUUAAGAUGGACCCGAUUUGGAUGAGCUGGUUGGUGGGGUAACGGCACACCAAGGCGACGAGCCAUAGCCGGCAUGAGAGGGUGAACCGACACAUUGGGACUGAGACACGGCACAGACUCCUACGGGAGGCAGCAGUGGGGAAUAUUGCAAAAUGGGGGAAAUCCUGAUGCAGCGACGCCGCGUGAAGGAAGAAGUAUCUCGGUAUGUAAACUUCUAUCAGCAGGGAAGAUAAUGACGGUACCUGACUAAGAAGCCACGGCUAACUACGUG
rnacentral:rRNA from 1 species